CUAAGAGCUCGUAGGCGGUUUGUCGCGUCUGCUGUGAAAUCCGGAGGCUCAACCUCCGGCCUGCAGUGGGUACGGGCAGACUAGAGUGCGGUAGGGGAGAUUGGAAUUCCUGGUGUAGCGGUGGAAUGCGCAGAUAUCAGGAGGAACACCGAUGGCGAAGGCAGAUCUCUGGGCCGUAACUGACGCUGAGGAGCGAAAGGGUGGGGAGCAAACAGGCUUAGAUACCCUGGUAGUCCACCCCGUAAACGUUGGGAACUAGUUGUGGGGUCCAUUCCACGGAUUCCGUGACGCAGCUAACGCAUUAAGUUCCCCGCCUGGGGAGUACGGCCGCAAGGCUAAAACUCAAAGGAAUUGACGGGGACCCGCACAAGCGGCGGAGCAUGCGGAUUAAUUCGAUGCAACGCGAAGAACCUUACCAAGGCUUGACAUAUACGAGAACGGGCCAGAAAUGGUCAACUCUUUGGACACUCGUAAACAGGUGGUGCAUGGUUGUCGUCAGCUCGUGUCGUGAGAUGUUGGGUUAAGUCCCGCAACGAGCGCAACCCUCGUUCUAUGUUGCCAGCACGUAAUGGUGGGAACUCAUGGGAUACUGCCGGGGUCAACUCGGAGGAAGGUGGGGAUGACGUCAAAUCAUCAUGCCCCUUAUGUCUUGGGCUUCACGCAUGCUACAAUGGCCGGUACAAAGGGCUGCAAUACCGCGAGGUGGAGCGAAUCCCAAAAAGCCGGUCCCAGUUCGGAUUGAGGUCUGCAACUCGACCUCAUGAAGUCGGAGUCGCUAGUAAUCGCAGAUCAGCAACGCUGCGGUGAAUACGUUCCCGGGUCUUGUACACACCGCCCGUCAAGUCAUGAAAGUCGGUAACACCUGAAGCCGGUGGCCUAACCCUUGUGGAGGGAGCCGUCGAAGUGGGAUCGGUAAUUAGGACUAAGUCGUACAAGGGUAGCCAA
rnacentral:rRNA from 1 species